rnacentral:misc_RNA from 1 species
UUUCUGAUUUGGUCCUAUUAUUAUUAUUAUAAUCUACAUCAAAGGGGCAAUUUUGUCAUUUCAAUCCACACUAACAGUAAAUUAUGUCCAAACUUAGGACUAAUUAGGGACUGCCCUGUAGAUUUUGAUAACUAUCAGAUCAACAUGAACUUCUCGAUAAUCAUGGAUUAUUAACUAAUAUCCAUUUCACUGAAAUCACUAUCGCAUGCGGAAGGAUAAGAAAAGGGGGUAAAAAAGGAGAAAAUUAUACUCUGCAACUGCAAGCAAUGAACAAUGAAUAAAAGAAA